ACUCAUGAUGGCUCAGUCAGUAGAGCAUGAGACUCUUAAUCUCCGCGUUGUGGAUUCAAGCCCCACGUUGGGCA